rnacentral:rRNA from 1 species
UACGGAGGGUGCGAGCGUUGUCCGGAAUCAUUGGGCGUAAAGGGCGCGUAGGUGGCCUGCUAAGCGUGCGGUGAAAGCUCGGGGCUCAACCCCGAGUCGGCCGUGCGAACUGGUGGGCUUGAGCACUGUAGAGGCAGGCGGAAUUCCGGGUGUAGCGGUGGAAUGCGUAGAGAUCCGGAAGAACACCGGUGGCGAAGGCGGCCUGCUGGGACAUGGCUGACGCUGAGGCGCGACAGCGUGGGGAGCAAACAGG